rnacentral:rRNA from 1 species
AUGCAUGUGACGAAGAAUCUUUGCAAGAACCUGCUAGGCUUCUUGGGCGUGUAUGGGAAGACAAAAGAUACACCGGAGACACGGAAGGAGCAGCAACAUAUGCACGAAAAAGACGGCAUGCAUCCAAUUGAGUAUCAAUGUCCUGUCAGCUACACUCUUACCAAAGAAAAGAAGGACAUCUUUUUUGAAUGCCUGCUCAGUAUGAAGGUUCCGUCUGGCUACUCAUCGAAUAUAAAGGAAAUAAUAAAUAUAGCAGAGAAACAUUUUCAAAACCUAAAAUUUCAUAACUGCCACGUGAUUAUAACACAAUUGCUUCUGGUUGCAUUGAGGGAUGGCAACAAAGCAGGCGACCACCAGAACUCAUUGUGA